GACGAACGCUGGCGGCGUGCUUAACACAUGCAAGUCGAACGGAAAGGCCCUGCUUUUGUGGGGUGCUCGAGUGGCGAACGGGUGAGUAACACGUGAGUAACCUGCCCUUGACUUUGGGAUAACUUCAGGAAACUGGGGCUAAUACCGGAUAGGAGCUCCUGCUGCAUGGUGGGGGUUGGAAAGUUUCGGCGGUUGGGGAUGGACUCGCGGCUUAUCAGCUUGUUGCUGGGGUAGUGGCUUACCAAGGCUUUGACGGGUAGCCGGCCUGAGAGGGUGACCGGCCACAUUGGGACUGAGAUACGGCCCAGACUCCUACGGGAGGCAGCAGUGGGGAAUAUUGCACAAUGGGCGGAAGCCUGAUGCAGCAACGCCGCGUGCGGGAUGACGGCCUUCGGGUUGUAAACCGCUUUCGCCUGUGACGAAGCGUGAGUGACGGUAAUGGGUAAAGAAGCACCGGCUAACUACGUG
rnacentral:rRNA from 1 species